AUUGCAUUCAAAACUUAACUGAUACUAGUGAAAGGGGAUAAGACGUCCACAAUUCAUCAUGAAAACAACACUCUUGUGCAUCAUGAUUGUUUCUAUCAUCGUUUCUGUGGCGAUAGCUAGUAAUAACGAGUGCAACGGCAAGGAACCCAGGGUUUACGGAACUAAGGGCAACAUGCAAAGGUGUACAUGCCACGACGACCCCAACGGCGAGAAUGGGGAACGAUGGACAUGCUCAUUUCAUUUUGUUCAAAUGUAAACUUGUGAAAUUAAAAACAAAUCGAGGGUUAGAAAGCUUACCUUACUUUAUACGAACGAGCCCAUGUAAACAAUUGUGAGUGUGAGUGUUUUAUGCUUGAUGAGUGCAAUUUGUAAUCAGGCGUUUAAAAGUCUAGUUUAAACCCUAUAUAAUUGAUCCCAACCCCUAAAUAAUCCGUCCCAGUUAAAUAGUAGCAUAAUUUAUUUUUAACACCAUGUACUAAAUGUACAAUUAAAACAGAUCAAAUUUUAAA